rnacentral:rRNA from 1 species
UACGGGGGGGGCAAGCGUUGUUCGGAUUUACUGGGCGUAAAGGGCGCGUAGGCGGCACUGCAAGUCAGUUGUGAAAUCUCCGGGCUUAACCCGGAAAGGUCAACUGAUACUGCAGGGCUAGAGUGCAGAAGGGGCAACUGGAAUUCUCGGUGUAGCGGUGAAAUGCGUAGAUAUCGAGAGGAACACCUGCGGCGAAGGCGGGUUGCUGGGCUGACACUGACGCUGAGGCGCGAAAGCCAGGGGAGCGAACGGG